rnacentral:rRNA from 1 species
GAUGAACGCUGGCGGCGUGCUUAACACAUGCAAGUCGAACGAAGCACUUUAUUUGAUUUCCUUCGGGACUGAUUAUUUUGUGACUGAGUGGCGGACGGGUGAGUAACGCGUGGGUAACCUGCCUUGUACAGGGGGAUAACAGUUGGAAACGGCUGCUAAUACCGCAUAGCGCACAGCAACGCCUGAUGCAGGGUGAAAAAAUCCGGUGGUAUUAGAUGGACCCGCGUUGGAUUUGCUAGUUGGUGAGGUAACGGCCCACCAAGGCGACGAUCCAUAGCCGACCUGAGAGGGUGACCGGCCACAUUGGGACUGAGACACGGCCCAAACUCCUACGGGAGGCAGCAGUGGGGAAUAUUGCACAAUGGGCGAAAGCCUGAUGCAGCGACGCCGCGUGAGCGAAGAAGUAUUUCGGUAUGUAAAGCUCUAUCAGCAGGGAAGAUAAUGACGGUACCUGACUAAGAAGCACCGGCUAAAUACGUG